CAGCAGCCGCGGUAAUACCAGCAGCCCAAGUGGUGGUCGCGCUUAUUGGGCCUAAAGCGCUCGUAGCCUGGCCGGUAAGUUCCCCGUGAAAUCGGGUCGCCCAACGAUUCGGCUUGCGGGGAAUACUGUCGGUCUUGGGGCCGGGAGACGCCGAGGGUACUCCGGGGGUAGCGGUGAAAUGCUGUAAUCCUCGGGGGACUACCAGUGGCGAAGGCGCUCGGCGAUAACGGGCCUGACGGUGAGGGGCGAAAGCUGGGGGCGCGAACGGGAUUAGAUACCCCGGUAGUCCCUGUCUCUUAUA
rnacentral:rRNA from 1 species